rnacentral:rRNA from 1 species
AGAACGAACGCUGGCGGCAGGCCUCAAACAUGCAAGUCUAGGGGGGUAGCAAUACCCACCGGCGGACGGGUGCGUAACACGUGGGAAUAUACCUUUCGGUACGGAACAACUGCGGGAAACUGCAGCUAAUACCGUAUACGUCCUAACGGAGAAAGAUUUAUCGCCGAAGGAUUAGCCCGCGUCCGAUUAGCUAGUUGGUGAGGUAAUGGCUCACCAAGGCUCCGAUCGGUAGCUGUUCUGAGAGGAAGAUCAGCCACACUGGGACUGAGACACGGCCCAGACUCCUACGGGAGGCAGCAGUUGGGAAUCUUGGACAAUGGGGGAAACCCUGAUCCAGCCAUGCCGCGUGAGUGAUGAAGGCCUUCGGGUUGUAAAACUCUUUCGACGGGGACGAUAAUGACGGUACCCGUAGAAGAAGCUCCGGCUAACUUCGCGCCAGCAGCCGC